rnacentral:rRNA from 1 species
GACGUAGGGCGCGAGCGUUGUCCGGAUUUAUUGGGCGUAAAGAGCUCGUAGGCGGCUUGUCGCGUCGUGUGUGAAAUCUCAGGGCUCAACUCUGACAUUGCAUACGAUACGGGCAGGCUUGAGUUCGGUAGGGGAGACUGGAAUUCCUGGUGUAGCGGUGAAAUGCGCAGAUAUCAGGAGGAACACCGGUGGCGAAGGCGGGUCUCUGGGCCGAGAUUGACGCUGAGGCGCGAAAGCCAGGGGAGCAAACGGG